UUAACGGAGAGUUUGAUCCUGGCUCAGGACGAACGCUGGCGGCGUGCUUAACACAUGCAAGUCGAACGGAGGAUGCGGGGAAGCUUGCUUUCCUGCAAACUUAGUGGCGGACGGGUGAGUAACGCGUGGAUAACCUGCCUGUAAGACUGGGAU
rnacentral:ncRNA from 1 species